GCCCACCUGCAAUACCAAUGAACCAUGUACAUUCUUACUCAGCUAAAAAUUUAAAGAAUUAUUACCACAACAAGUCAUUGCUGUCUCUAGAUAAUUUCCAGGCAAGUUCAAACAUAAGAAGAGCAGUCUAAACGACGAAAAUGAAUGCCUUUUUUCUCUACGACGCAUAACCAUUUCAGCAGGAUCCAAUUUCUGACGUUUGGAUUUAGAUUCACGAACUUCUUCUUCAUCAUCAUCACCAUCACCAUUUGCUUCUCCAUCUGAAGGAUUGCUGCCCUAAUUAUUUUAAAAAUUUAUCAGUUUCAAAUUUAAACAUAUGCCAAUUAAUUAACUACCUCAUCAUCAUCAUCGUCAUCAUCAUUCCCAAAGAUAUCUUCAUAUGUUGGUAUAUCUUCUUUCUCAUUUACCUUUCCCAGUAUACAAACCUAAACAAUGGCACACAAUCAACAAAGUUUUCGCUAUAAAAAGUAAACAGUGAUAUUUACCUGUCCAUCGUUGUAGAUGUUACAAACAUCAUAUGGCCGAUGUGAGUCUGCAAUAUAGAAGAUUUUUUCCUCUGA